rnacentral:rRNA from 1 species
AGUGAACGCUGGCGGUAGGCCUAACACAUGCAAGUCGAACGGCAGCACAGUAAGAGCUUGCCCUUACGGGUGGCGAGUGGCGGACGGGUGAGGAAUACAUCGGAAUCUACUUUUUCGUGGGGGAUAACGUAGGGAAACUUACGCUAAUACCGCAUACGACCUACGGGUGAAAGCAGGGGAUCUUCGGACCUUGCGCGAUUGAAUGAGCCGAUGUCGGAUUAGCUAGUUGGCGGGGUAAAGGCCCACCAAGGCGACGAUCCGUAGCUGGUCUGAGAGGAUGAUCAGCCACACUGGAACUGAGACACGGUCCAGACUCCUACGGGAGGCAGCAGUGGGGAAUAUUGGACAAUGGGCGCAAGCCUGAUCCAGCCACACCGCGUGGGUGAAGAAGGCCUUCGGGUUGUAAAGCCCUUUUGUUGGGAAAGAAAAGCAGCAGGUUAAUACCCCGCUGUUCUGACGGUACCCAAAGAAUAAGCACCGGCUAACUUCGUG